AGAGAUGGCAAUAAAUGCAACUCACUGCGCAGGCCAAACGACACAACCCACCCCCCAUCCACUUGUGCAGGCUGACUGUAGCUCCUAUCCAGCAUCUCCCAAAAAAUGUGGAAGAUGACUCCAAGAAACCAGGUUUCAAGUAGGAAGGGGAUGGCAUGGUACGUGGUGUUCCGAGGUAGGACACCCAGAGUUUGCGAUUUGCGGUUUCCGCGGCUGCUCAUUCCGCAGCUACCCAUUAGAAGAGCAAGCACUUGCGGCGUACCAUUCCUACUUCGGGAAAGCAGGAUCAACUGGAUCCGAUGCUGGUUGGGGCCAUGAAGCAGCGCUGGGCACACAACUCCUCCUGGCGGCCGCGGAGGCAGAUGUGCAAGGACAUGCGGCUCUAGAACCAUUAGCAGAGAUGCAGAUCUUCAAGCUGACCCCCUGGAGCAGCGGAACCGGACAUGAUGGUCCUACUGGUGCUCCUUAUUGCUCUGCUCCUGGCGUUGACUGCCUACUUCAUGAACUAGAGCAGAUAGCCUAGUGCCUUUAUCAUGUUUUCAUCCCGUUUUGUGUGGUGAUGAAAAAAAUUUCGUAGUGUUAGCAGUAUGUUUUUUAAUGGAUCCAUGUGAUGGUGCCGUAGGUGUUCUAAGAGUCCUAUGUAGUACUAGAACUUGGUAUGUGAUGCAUAAACUAGUCAAUGUAAUGAUGCAUGGCAGCACUCGAAAAGGCAAAACGCAUAUAUGCCUAUGUGUAUUAGUGUGUGGGCAUCCAACUCUGAAAUAUUAUGGUUAUAUGUAUGCUACCAGAAGUCACA